rnacentral:rRNA from 1 species
UUCGCAAUGCCCGAAAGGGUGACGAAGCGACGCCGCGUGGGUGAGGAAGGCCUUCGGGUUGUAAAGCCCUGUCAGGAGUUAAGAAAUAUAAGUGCGCUAAUAUCGCAUUUAUUUGACGAAGGCUCCAAAGGAAGCCACGGCUAACUCUGUGCCAGCAGCCGCGGUAAUACAGAAGUGGCAAGCGUUGUUCGGAAUUAUUGGGCGUAAAGAGCACGUAGGUGGGUUUGUAAGUCAGAUGUGAAAGCCUUCUGUUCAACGGAAGAAUUGCAUCUGAAACUACAAGUCUUGAGUGUAGGAGGGGAGAAUGGAACUUCUGGUGGAGCGGUGAAAUGCGUAGAUAUCAGAAGGAACGCCGGCGGCGAAAGCGAUUCUCUGGCCUAUUACUGACACUCAGUGUGCGAAAGCUAGGGGAGCAAACGGGAUUAGAUACCCCGGUAGUCCUAGCUGUAAACGAUGGGCACUAAGUAGAGGGGUUUU